rnacentral:rRNA from 1 species
UACGGAGGGGGCUAGCGUUGUUCGGAAUUACUGGGCGUAAAGCGCACGUAGGCGGCCUUUCAAGUCAGGGGUGAAAUCCCGGGGCUCAACCCCGGAACUGCCCUUGAAACUGGGAGGCUAGAAUCUUGGAGAGGCGAGUGGAAUUCCGAGUGUAGAGGUGAAAUUCGUAGAGAUUCGGAAGAACACCAGUGGCGAAGGCGACUCGCUGGACAAGCAUUGACGCUGAGGUGCGAAAGAGUGGGGAGCAAACAGG